rnacentral:rRNA from 1 species
GUGUGUAACAACUCACCUGCCGAAUGAACUAGCCCUGAAAAUGGAUGACGCUCAAGCGAUUAACCGAUAUCAAACCAUUUACAAAGUAAUUGUGAAUGUGUAGGAGGGCGUGAAUAUGACGUAGAAGGUUUACGUGUGAACGUGACUGGAGUCGUAUUUAGUGCAGAUCUUGGUGGUAGUAGCAA